GCAUAAUCAUUAGUCUUUUAAUUGAAGGCUGGAAUGAAUGGCGGGACGAAGUACUGACUGUCUCUUAUGGGCUAAUAUCGAAUUUAAUUUUUUAGUCAAAAAGCUAAAAUUUUGUUGAAAGACGAGAAGACCCUAUAGAUCUUUACACUUCAUUUUAUGUGUAAUUUUUAAUUUUUAUGUCUAGGAGAGAGUGUUUUGUUGGGGUGACGUGAAGAUAUAGCUAACUCUUCUUUUUUUUCUGACAUGAAUUAAUGAAUUUUUGAUCCAUUUUUAGUGAUAACAAGUUUAAGUUACCUUAGGGAUAACAGCGUAAUUCUUUUUGAGAGUUCUUAUUGACAAAAGAGUUUGCGACCUCGAUGUUGGACUAAGAAAAAUUUAGGGUGCAGUAGUUCUAAAUUUAGGUCUGUUCGACCUUUAAAUUCUUACAU
rnacentral:rRNA from 1 species